rnacentral:sRNA from 1 species
AAUGGGCUUUCUACUCUGGAUGCUGCUCCCAUGCUCUGACACGAUGCCUACUACAAUGUUCUCCAAAAUGUCCACAAAGGUGACUUAAGUCAGGUUCUCCCAAACCAGAUACCAAGACAAGAAUCCAUGUUCGUGUGACUGAAGGAAGUGCUGGGAGAGCCCCAGCUGCAGCCUGGAUGUGAACUGCAACUCUAAGGUGUGUCCAGACUCAAAGCAAGGGCACUAGGCUUUCCAGACCUCCUCCAAGUCGUUGAUCCAGCACUGCCCUGCCAGGACAUAAAUCCCUGGCACCUCUUACUCUCUGCAAAGGAAGGCAAAGCAGCUUCAGGAGCCCUUGGGAGUCCUUCAAAGAGAGUCUAGGGUACAGGUCCGAAGGUAGAAGAACACAGAAGGCAGGCCAGGGGCACUGCCAGAUGGUAAAAGAGAUCUGAAGGGAUCCAGAAUUCAAGCCAGGAAGAAGCAGCAUUCUGUCUUCUGGAUUAAAACUGAAGAUCAACCUACUUUCAACUUACUAAGAAAGGGGAUCAUGGACAUUGAAGCAUAUCUUGAAAGAAUUGGCUAUAAGAAGUCUAGGAACAAAUUGGACUUGGAAACAUUAACUGACAUUCUUCAGCACCAGAUCCGAGCUGUUCCAUUUGAGAACCUUAACAUCCAUUGCGGGGAAGCCAUGGACUUAGGCUUAGAGGCCAUUUUUGAUCAAGUUGUGAGAAGAAAUCGGGGUGGAUGGUGUCUCCAGGUCAAUCAUCUUCUGUACUGGGCUCUGACCUCUAUUGGUUUUGAGACCACGAUGUUGGGAGGGUAUG